UUGAGGGUUGAUAUUAAAUGAAAUGAAAUGGAGUGGAACAGAACAGAACAGAACACCUUAUCGGUCAAGCAUGAUUAGACACACACAGACUU